rnacentral:lncRNA from 1 species
UUUUCCAGCAGCUUCUUGUUUUUCUUCCUCCCAUCUCACGUUUCUUCAUCUUCCAUGGAAGCCUCUUUUAAAGCUUCCAUAACUCUCUUUCUCUAGCUUCAAUUUUCAUGCUUUUAAGCAUUUUUUCAUAGAACCUUUUGUGCUCUUUCACUCUCUCACCUUAAAACCCUCAAAAGUCUUUCCUCAACACUUUCUCUCACUAGUUGGACAUUUUAGAGAGACAAAGAGAGAGAGAGAGAGAGAGAGAGAGAGAGAGAGAGAGAGAGACUUUCCAUGAUAGCUUGAGUAUUCUUGAGAAGGAAUUCAACUACAAAUCCACCAAGGUGAGUAAUGAAUGAGGAUUGAUUUUAGGUUGUUGAUAAUGGCUAGUAAUUGGAGUUUUGAGUUGUUUUAUUGUUGAGGUUUGUUUAUUUAUUUCAAGUGUUACUAGAGUAGAGAGAAUAGAUAGCUAGUCGAAUGGUAAUUGGAAGCUAGUUAGGAAUAACUAGUGGGGCUUGAUUUAAGAAAUAGCUUUUAGAAUUGUAUUUAUGCAAAUUGGGUUGGUUGUGAUGUUGGUGUGUGAUAGGUUCCAACAAGACCUCACAUCUUCAUUUGGAGCAAUAGUUGAAGUUGGAGUCAAGUAAAGAUUCAACAAAUACCGGUGAGUGAACUUGUAUUAAAAUGAUUUGGGGUAAAUGUGUAAAUGUUUGAGUGAAUUGCUUGAAAGGUUUUAGUUGUCUUUUUCUUUAAAAUGUAUAUGGGAACAAGCUUUUAAAGAAACAUUUUGCAUUGUGAAAUGUGACUGUGAUGAAUCCAUGUGCCCUGUGUUAUGUUGAUAUAUAUAUCUAAAAAUAUAUGAUAUGUAUUGAUAGUAAUAUUGUUUGU